rnacentral:rRNA from 1 species
UACGGAGGGUGCAAGCGUUAUCCGGAUUUACUGGGCUUAAAGGGUGCGUAGGUGGGCUGGUAAGUCAGUGGUGAAAUCUCCAGGCUUAACUUGGAAACUGCCAUUGAUACUAUCAGUCUUGAAUACCGUGGAGGUCAGCGGAAUAUGUCAUGUAGCGGUGAAAUGCGUAGAUAUCUGGAGGAACACCGGUGGCGAAGGCGGCAUCCUGGACCAACACUGACGCUGAGGAGCGAAAGCCAGGGGAGCAAACGGG